rnacentral:rRNA from 1 species
GACGAACGCUGGCGGCGUGCUUAACACAUGCAAGUCGAACGGAAAGGCCCUGCUUUUGUGGGAUGCUCGAGUGGCGAACGGGUGAGUAACACGUGAGUAACCUGCCCUUGACUUUGGGAUAACUUCAGGAAACUGGGGCUAAUACCGGAUAGGAGCUCCUGCUGCAUGGUGGGGGUUGGAAAGUUUCGGCGGUUGGGGAUGGACUCGCGGCUUAUCAGCUUGUUGGUGGGGUAGUGGCUUACCAAGGCUUUGACGGGUAGCCGGCCUGAGAGGGUGACCGGCCACAUUGGGACUGAGAUACGGCCCAGACUCCUACGGGAGGCAGCAGUGGGGGAUAUUGCACAAUGGGCGGAAGCCUGAUGCAGCAACGCCGCGUGCGGGAUGACGGCCUUCGGGUUGUAAACCGCUUUCGCCUGUGACGAAGCGUGAGUGACGGUAAUGGGUAAAGAAGCACCGGCUAACUACGUG